rnacentral:lncRNA from 1 species
GUUUAUCUUUCUUCUUUGUUCCUUUUAGAACUGUCACGUAGAGUAGGUAAUGUAUGUAGAGGUAAUGUAUGAGGUCAUCUAGCACUGCAGCCCAACCUGUAUUGGAUUCCAGUGAUUGCCACAAGUCACUUCCCUAUCAUUUCCUCUCUUCAUGGUGAGCCUAGCUGACUGGAAGGGUGUGUUUGCAGAGCACUCUAGAGAUUGUGGCCAUGGAAUGUGGAGGUGGGGGUACUGGCGUGUCCGUGCCUAGCUCCUAGCUGCUUUGAUCCUGCCCUUUUCACACGUAAGGGUAUCAGUUCCCGGAUUGGGCCUACAAAGCCGAGUCGUCGCCAGGCUCCCGGCAGAUCCAGCUGUGGCACUUCAUCUUGGAACUGCUGCAGAAGGAAGAGUUCCGCCAUGUCAUCGCCUGGCAGCAGGGAGAGUACGGGGAGUUUGUCAUCAAGGAUCCAGAUGAAGUGGCUCGCCUCUGGGGCCGCAGGAAGUGCAAACCACAGAUGAACUACGACAAGCUGAGCCGGGCCCUCAGAUACUAUUACAACAAGAGGAUCCUUCAUAAGACAAAAGGGAAAAGGUUUACUUACAAGUUCAACUUCAGCAAGCUGGUGAUGCCCAACUACCCUUUCAUCAACAUCCGC